rnacentral:rRNA from 1 species
ACUCAAAGGAAUUGACGGGGACCCGCACAAGCAGCGGAGCAUGUGGUUUAAUUCGAAGCAACGCGAAGAACCUUACCAGGGCUUGACAUCCCGAUGACCGGUAUAGAGAUAUACCUUCUCUUCGGAGCAUUGGAGACAGGUGGUGCAUGGUUGUCGUCAGCUCGUGUCGUGAGAUGUUGGGUUAAGUCCCGCAACGAGCGCAACCCCUAUUUUUAGUUGCCAUCACGUAAAGGUGGGCACUCUAAAGAGACUGCCGGGGAUAACUCGGAGGAAGGUGGGGACGACGUCAAAUCAUCAUGCCCCUUAUGUCCUGGGCUACACACGUGCUACAAUGGCCGGAAACAACGGGAAGCGAAGCCGCAAGGUGGAGCCAAUCCCCUAAAGCCGGUCCCAGUUCGGAUUGUGGGCUGCAACUCGCCCACAUGAAGUCGGAGUUGCUAGUAAUCGCGAAUCAGCAUGUCGCGGUGAAUGCGUUCCCGGGUCUUGUACACACCGCCCGU